AGUGAACGCUGGCGGUAGGCCUAACACAUGCAAGUCGAACGGCAGCACAGUAAGAGCUUGCUCUUACGGGUGGCGAGUGGCGGACGGGUGAGGAAUACAUCGGAAUCUACUUUUUCAUGGGGGAUAACGUAGGGAAACUUACGCUAAUACCGCAUACGACCUACGGGUGAAAGCAGGGGAUCUUCGGACCUUGCGCGAUUGAAUGAGCCGAUGUCGGAUUAGCUAGUUGGCGGGGUAAAGGCCCACCAAGGCGACGAUCCGUAGCUGGUCUGAGAGGAUGAUCAGCCACACUGGAACUGAGACACGGUCCAGACUCCUACGGGAGGCAGCAGUGGGGAAUAGUGGACAAUGGGCGCAAGCCUGAUCCAGCCAUACCGCGUGGGUGAAGAAGGCCUUCGGGUUGUAAAGCCCUUUUGUUGGGAAAGAAAAGCAGCAGGUUAAUACCCCGCUGUUCUGACGGUACCCAAAGAAUAAGCACCGGCUAACUUCGUG
rnacentral:rRNA from 1 species